rnacentral:miRNA from 1 species
CAACUCAGUGGUCUAGUGGUU